GUGUGUGUGUGUGUGUGUGUGUGUGUGUGUGUGUGUAUAUAUAUAUAUAUAUAUAUAUACACACAUAUAUAUAUAGUUGGCUGAGUAGAAGUCUGUCAGUUUAAAUAGGCUUAAUUAUUUAACAGAACAUGAUAUGGAUACAGACAUUUAGGCUAUGUGUGGGAUAAAACCACUGCACAGUCAAACAGCCACUUAAUAUUUAGGCUACUUUACAAUGUAAAACAUGAUCAAAAUGAGGUAGCUCCAUGAGAUUAUGCUGACUUCUUACCUGUUUGAACAAUGUUCUUAUAUUUCAUCUUAAGCUUCUCCCCUGCAGGAUUGCACCUAAAUGAAAUAACUUAAUAGGCUACUAUUCAAACAGUUUUCCCCUGUAAUAUUAUUGUGAUUUAAACUUACGCAUUGACAGGGCAGCAAUGUUCUCCCACACCGUCUCCCUCUCUUUUGCAGCUGCAGGUGUUGCACUUCUUUCUAAAAACGUGUUCAAACUCGCUAUAUAAGCGCAUUAAGAUUUCCAAUUCAAACGGUGUAGUCCUCCGCUUCCCCGUUGCCAUGGUGACUUGUCGAAUCAGCGCUCAAUUGAUGCUGGCUUUUCAGAGUUGUGGUGCACGCGCUUAACUCCGGGUGAAACUACUCCGAGUUGAUUAAACCAACUCAAAUCAGCCGUUGUGAAACCGAAAACUCAGAGUUUUCUAUCUCAGAGUAGAUCAACUCAGAGUUCAGGGUUAAACUCAGAGUUUGUUGAACCUGCUUCGUGAAACGGACCCCAGAUAUUGUCUCCACAUCUGAACUGUUUCCACCUUUACACACUCUCAUUUUAUUUUCUAACUUCUGUCGUGUUUUUCUUGUUUCUUGUCAUUGUGUAUCUGGUUUCUUGUCGUUGUGUAUCUGGUUGUGUUGUUGUGUAUCUGGUUUUGUUGUUUGUUGUCAUUGUGUAUCUGGUUUGUUGUCGUGUAUCUGGUUUUGUUGUUUGUUGUCGUUGUGUAUCUGGUUUGUUGUUGUUGGUUUUUCUUGCUUUGCGUUUCAUUCGUGCUGUUGUACGUCUGCUUUUGCUCUCUCUGUGUUGACAGGAACAUUCAGUCCAGCGUUUCUACUCUAGCAUCAUGUUUAUGACGGUUUUGUUUCUGGAGAUAUUGAACCCUGAAAAUGUCUUCACAAGUUUGUGGAAGAUCAAAAUAAAGAAACUCUCAGAUCUGAAAUUCCAAAAGUUCCGACAAAACAUUUUGAGGAACGUAGUUUUUGGUUUCAAAUAAUAAAGACGUAAACUCUGAACAGAAUCUGAGAAUGUUUGGGAGGAACCAUUCAGAGACCGUCCAAUCCUCUGAGAGUCUGGAGCCGUUUGCAGCGUGUUGAUUGGCUGACAGGCGGUGCAGCAGCUCCUGUCCGUCCAGGAUUGAAGAGUCUGCUUCAGAGCGAGAGCAGACGCUGCUGCUUUCUGCUAGUGUUCUCUGACGUCUCUGUGGUUUCCUUCAGUCGAUCAGACGCGUGGUUUUACCUCGAAAAAGCUUUUCAGGAAAUCGGUGUGGUGGAGUUUCCGUCUCAGACUUCAGAUCAGCUGUUUCUGUAGAACUCUGAAAAACAAGUUGAGCUUCUCCGGCCAGAAAGUGUGUGGAGCAGCUGAGAGGAGUUCAGGUGUUUCUCCAGGAGGCCGAGGCUCGUCCAAAAACGAUCCGAAAAUCUCAAAGCCAAUGUGGAAGAAAUGAAGUUCAUCUGAGACACAACACAAACUUUCACAGGAUGCCUUUCUGCAGCUGUACGAGUCCAGACCUCCAGUCACUUCCUGGUCCCUGAGGACGGUGGUUGGACUGGUUGUACUGGGAGCAGCUGGGAUCACACUGGGAGCCUUGUUCAGCCAGAAAUAAAACCUGUUGGUC